GCCUCGGUGGCUUAGGGGUUAUAGCAUCCGCCUUGUAAGCGGAAGGUCGCGAGUUCAAGACUCGCCCGAGGCUCCA
rnacentral:tRNA from 1 species